rnacentral:lncRNA from 1 species
CGACUUUCCCGGUUUCUAUAUGCAUGGUGAGCCACAGACAAGGACUUCCGCCAACUUCUAUGCGAGGAUAGUGGUCCAAUAUUUGCUGCAGCUAAGCUGGUUUCACCUGUUAUACAUUUCAUGAAAAUGUGUAUAAACAUGCAGCCGGCAUCGGGUUUUGAUUGGAGUUGGUGGUGGAUCGGAGUACCCACUACCCACUAGAUCGAGGGCCACACCUAGUGAAUAAACCAAUUGGUAAAUAGGCGGUGUUCGCUGCAGUGCAGCUUAGAUGUAGCAUACCUGGUAAGCAUUCACUAGUGAUAUGCCCUAUCAAGAUAUACACAUGGUUUAGGAAAAUAUAUAAUUAAGGUUGUUGACCAUCAUUUAGGGAGAAGUCCAUUUUUAGCGCCCAACUAUUGUCCGAGUUUGUUUUGAUUGUCCUACAAGUCUAAAUCUAGAAGUUUUUUUUGUCACCGAACUAUUAAUAUCAGAUAAAUUUGGCGGUUUAGUUAAUUAGUUUCGUAAGUGGUUUUAUAUUAAUCAAAAUAAUAAAAUCUAGUUUAUUUUCUAAAAUGUAAGGAACUCAUUUUAGAACUACUACAAUCUUUGUUUCUGAAAUUAACAUAUGUACCGUCAUGCUAGAUUUGUUCUUGUAUCUAGUGUUUUAUUGCUCGUGCCCAUUAUUUAUUCAAAUCAUUAUUUUUGUGUGCUAUAAAUCGACCGUCAUGUUGAAAAGCUAACACCACCAUCCCUUGUACCACCCCUGGCUCCAUAAGGGGAGUGUGAGGUCGAGGUAGAGCUACCCUGCAUCAAGGUGAAGCCAUAUGACAACAACGUCUACUCGGUUGUACGCCAUCCAUCCCCACAAACUCCACUUGGAAGAGCCACCUCCAAAGCGAAUUCCUAGGAAACACUCGCAUAACACCAUGAAGAUGGUGAGGCGGGCGAUGCCACUAUUUUACGAACGUUCAGUAGAAACGAAAGCAGCGUCAAUUUUCGACAGCUAUUUUUUUUCUUUUUUUGAAACUGCAUAUGUUACUUUCUAUUUUUGGACAGAACAGGAAUCAUUUCUCUUUCUCUUUUGAGGCAUUCGAUUCACUUUUCACUUUCUUUUGCUAGAUCACCCGCCAUUUAAUAUUUUUUUUUAAUUUUUUUAAGAAGCAAGCCCUCAUAACUUAUAAAACAGAAUUAAAAAGCAUAACUUUCACGAUAAACUUAACAGUACUAACUUAGAAGUGCUUCUAGACAACAUAAGUUCGAGGAAUAACUCAACAUUGCUAACUUAGUCGUUCUCAAAAAGUUAUAGUAUAUAACUUAUGUACAUAAGUUUACUCCUACUAUUUCAAAUUAUAAGGCAUAUUGACUUUUUCUAAAUUGAAUUCACUAUGUAUCUAGACACAACUAUAUAUGUAUACACAUAGCAAAAUCAAUAUAUGUAGAAAUAUCAAAACAUAUUAUAAUUUGGAAUAGAGAGAGACAUAAGUUACACAAUACAACUUAUGUACAUAAGUUACACAAGUAAUACACUAGUGUAUAUAGAAAGUUAUGCAGUUAUUAUACACAAACAGAAGUUAUACAAUACAACUUAGCAGAAUAGGUUAGCAACAUAACUUAGCA